AGGGAAUGAAGAACAUCUAAAAGAAGCUGCUAACUAUCUUUUAAAGCGGUUAAACUCCGUUUAUCCCUUA
rnacentral:tRNA from 1 species